rnacentral:misc_RNA from 1 species
AACGCACGAGACCUGCGGACCUGCGGAAGGAUCAUUAUUGAAUCCAAAGGGAUGCUGCUGGCUUUCACGAGCUGUGCACUCCUGCCUUUACAUCCACCUGUGCACUUGCUGUAGACUAGGAUUAAUUUCUGGGUCUAUGUUUUUCAUUUACACUUUUAAAGUCAAUGAAUGUAUUUUAGGCUUUGGCCAAUAAAACAAUACAACUUUUAACAAUGGAUCUCUAGAUCGGAAGAGCACACG